GACGAACGCUGGCGGCGUGCUUAACACAUGCAAGUCGAACGAAAAGAGGGAAAGAGCUUGCUCUUUCCGGAAUUGAGUGGCAAACGGGUGAGUAACACGUAAACAACCUGCCUUCAGGAUGGGGACAACAGACGGAAACGACUGCUAAUACCGAAUAAGUUCCAAGGGCCGCAUGGCCCAUGGAAGAAAAGGUGGCCUCUACCUGUAAGCUAUCGCCUGAAGAGGGGUUUGCGUCUGAUUAGCUGGUUGGAGGGGUAACGGCCCACCAAGGCGACGAUCAGUAGCCGGUCUGAGAGGAUGCACGGCCACACUGGAACUGAGACACGGUCCAGACUCCUACGGGAGGCAGCAGUGGGGAAUCUUCCGCAAUGGGCGAAAGCCUGACGGAGCAACGCCGCGUGAGUGAUGACGGCCUUCGGGUUGUAAAACUCUGUGAUCCGGGACGAAAAGGCAGAGUGCGAAGAACAAACUGCAUUGACGGUACCGGAAAAGCAAGCCACGGCUAACUACGUG
rnacentral:rRNA from 1 species